GCCGUGUUGGCGCAGUGGUAGUCGCGUCUCACUUGUACAGUUGCGUAAAUACGCAAUGAAGCACAUGAGAAGGUCAUUCGUUCAAUCCGGGUACUCGGCA